rnacentral:lncRNA from 1 species
UGGCCUAAUGAUACUUCUUAAUAGGUUAUGAAUAACCCUUUUAUAUGGAAAUAUAUUUAUACAAACUCACCAAGAUAAAUAAAAAUAAAAAUAGAAAUAGUAUCUACAGUUCUGGUCUGUUCAUAUAUUUACAUUUAAAACAAGUUGUCCAAGUAACAACAACAAACAUAUACAUGGACAUGGUGAUGGAUGCCGAUGCAGCAACAACAAAAACUAGAUA